UUGACCUCGGAUCAGGUAGGGAUACCCGCUGAACUUAAGCAUAUCAAUAAGGCGGGAAGAAA
rnacentral:rRNA from 1 species